UAAGCUUCGUUUCUUUUGUUCCUUAUUUAGUUGCCAUGUUUUAAAACUUAUCUCGUGUUGCAUGAAAAAUCAGUACUCAACACAAUAGGGGUCGGCGAAUCUGCAUCGCGUGUUAUCAAUAACUCUUGGAAACUUCUUUUUCCUUCCAUAUUAACUUGUCUUUUACCGUCAUUUUCAAUAUGGUAUCUUUGCACAGAGACAAUAUUCCCGGGUUUCGCUUCACAUUCAUUUACUGCGAGCCCUAAUUCUUUAAUAAAUUCAUCCGUUAAAAACUGACACACGCUCCUGUUUCUAGGAGUGCUGUUACUUUUGCAUAUGUAUUAUCAUGAGUAGUGCGAUCUGCCUACCAAUGUUACUCUUGAGUUAUGUUGAUUAUAGCCUUCUUUUCAUUAUUUUUAAGGUCACUCCCUUGUUUGUUAUAGCCUUCUUUUCCUUAUAUUUAUGUGAGGCGGUUACUCCCUUGUUCGUUAUAGCCUUCAUCUUAUUAUAUUAAAGGUUACUCCCUUGUUCGUUAUGGCCUUCAUCUUAUUAUAUUAAAGGUUACUCCCUUGUUCGUUAUAGCCUUCAUCUUAUUAUAUUAAAGGUUACUCCCUUGUUCGUUAUAGCCUUCAUCUUAUUAUAUUAAAGGUUACUCCCUUGUUCGUUAUGGCCUUCAUCUUAUUAUAUUAAAGGUUACUCCCUUGUUCGUUAUAGCCUUCAUCUUAUUAUAUUAAAGGUUACUCCCUUGUUCGUUAUAGCCUUCAUCUUAUUAUAUUAAAGGUUACUCCCUUGUUCGUUAUAGCCUUCAUCUUAUUAUAUUAAAGGUUACUCCCUGUUUUGUUCUUCGCUCAUUUUCCGUUUUUUCCACUGCAAGUGUGCAUAUUUAUUUAUUUAUUUAUUUUCAUUUGUUUAUUUAAUGUUAUUUGUAGUAGAUAACUGAGGGGGGCACUACCCUGGCCUCCUCUUCCUCUGAUUCUCUUACUUCACACAUUUAUCUUAAUACUUCACACUAUUGUCCAUAUGCUUCAUUUUUUUUUUUAUUCAUGACUUUUUAUCCAUACCUCACACUUUUCUUAGUAUUUCACAUUUUUUCUAGAUCAUACUCUACACUUCCUACCUGGGGGACGCGGGUUAGGCCUUUAUAAUGUCACUCUAUGGCUGCAUGUCCGCCGCGGCACACCACCACCCUGUGAGGCGUAGAGCCCCGUGUUCCCCUCCAUCCUGGGGUAACAAUCCUAAAACAAACAAACCUGAGAGGCGGGACGCUGCCGCUGCCUGUCACCUGACACCCUCUCACUGAUGAAUGGAUCGCGGCGCGGGUGGAGAGAGA